GCCUCGUAAGGGAAGUAAUCUUGCAAGAUAUUGAAAAAAUAAAUAAAUCAGAACACGCGUUUCUACUACUCCCCUCUACUUCAGUCGUUCCAGAGGAAGAGAGAGUGAGAGAGAGAAGACCACCGCACCCAACCCACCGCCAACCACCACCACUGCCGACGAACAAGACGCCUCCACGACUGCCGACCACCACAACCUUUGUACGCCGACGAGCUUCGAACCACAAUCACUGGUAUCGAUCUCGAACGUUGACGAAGAACUCGACCACCACCGUUGCCGCACCAACGAAGAUUUUUUAGAAGAAUCCUACCAAGAUCAAGAAUCUGGUUUUUGAUCGCAGACUCUUAAAGACACUGGCUUUUGACUCGUUCUUCUACUGAUAUCCAUAGCGAUGGAAAAUUGGAAAGGAAACAGAUUGAUAGGUUAUUGCCCGGAGACUAUCACUAGAUUGGGCUUUGUUGAGCCAAUGCUUAUUCAGUCACAAGGAUGGUCAAUGGCCUUAAAGGGCAUGGAAGUGAAGGACAAUGCUUAUUAUGCUGAAAAUUGAAGAUCAAAAUCUUGUAAUUGGGUGCUUUUUGCAUCCAAAUCAUCAAAACUGCUACUGUCCUAGCAAGAGGGAGAGCACAAAGCAGUUCCACAACUCCAAAAUCAAGUUCCCCUUGGUGUAUGGGGCAUUCAGCCAAGAAGAGAUGCUAGUGACACUUAAGGAUUUUUUUCAUUUUGCUUGUAAUAUAGCUUAGGGUAGACAAUGAUGAUGAUGUUCGGCUCAUGCCUGUUAUGUAAAACAUUAUGUCAAUCUAGUUCUUUUUGCUAUCGUAUGGUCAAGAUAUAUUGUUCAAA